rnacentral:rRNA from 1 species
GAUGAACGCUGGCGGCGUGCUUAACACAUGCAAGUCGAACGGUGAAGCAGAGCUUGCUCUGUGGAUCAGUGGCGAACGGGUGAGUAACACGUGAGCAAUCUGCCCCUGACUCUGGGAUAAGCGCUGGAAACGGCGUCUAAUACCGGAUACGAGCUGCGACCGCAUGGUCAGUAGCUGGAGAGAAUUUCGGUCAGGGAUGAGCUCGCGGCCUAUCAGCUUGUUGGUGAGGUAAUGGCUCACCAAGGCGUCGACGGGUAGCCGGCCUGAGAGGGUGACCGGCCACACUGGGACUGAGACACGGCCCAGACUCCUACGGGAGGCAGCAGUGGGGAAUAUUGCACAAUGGGCGCAAGCCUGAUGCAGCAACGCCGCGUGAGGGAUGACGGCCUUCGGGUUGUAAACCUCUUUUAGCAGGGAAGAAGCGAAAGUGACGGUACCUGCAGAAAAAGCGCCGGCUAACUACGUGCCAGCAGCCGCGGUAAUACGUAGGGCGCAAGCGUUAUCCGGAAUUAUUGGGCGUAAAGAGCUCGUAGGCGGUCUGUCGCGUCUGCUGUGAAAACCCGAGGCUCAACCUCGGGCCUGCAGUGGGUACGGGCAGACUAGAGUGCGGUAGGGGAGAUUGGAAUUCCUGGUGUAGCGGUGGAAUGCGCAGAUAUCAGGAGGAACACCGAUGGCGAAGGCAGAUCUCUGGGCCGUAACUGACGCUGAGGAGCGAAAGGGUGGGGAGCAAACAGGCUUAGAUACCCUGGUAGUCCACCCCGUAAACGUUGGGAACUAGUUGUGGGGUCCAUUCCACGGAUUCCGUGACGCAGCUAACGCAUUAAGUUCCCCGCCUGGGGAGUACGGCCGCAAGGCUAAAACUCAAAGGAAUUGACGGGGACCCGCACAAGCGGCGGAGCAUGCGGAUUAAUUCGAUGCAACGCGAAGAACCUUACCAAGGCUUGACAUAUAGAGGAAACGUCUGGAAACAGUCGCCCCGCAAGGUCUCUAUACAGGUGGUGCAUGGUUGUCGUCAGCUCGUGUCGUGAGAUGUUGGGUUAAGUCCCGCAACGAGCGCAACCCUCGUUCUAUGUUGCCAGCACGUAAUGGUGGGAACUCAUGGGAUACUGCCGGGGUCAACUCGGAGGAAGGUGGGGAUGACGUCAAAUCAUCAUGCCCCUUAUGUCUUGGGCUUCACGCAUGCUACAAUGGCCGGUACAAAUGGCUGCAAUACCGUGAGGUGGAGCGAAUCCCAAAAAGCCGGUCCCAGUUCGGAUUGAGGUCUGCAACUCGACCUCAUGAAGUCGGAGUCGCUAGUAAUCGCAGAUCAGCAACGCUGCGGUGAAUACGUUCCCGGGUCU